rnacentral:lncRNA from 1 species
CUGUCCUGUUAUGUGCACCUGCAUAACAAUGUCUUUUGCUCUAUCUUUGACCUCUUUGCUCUGGUUCUGAAAUCUUCUUUUAUUUCGUUCCAUCCAGAAGUGAUAAACUAUUGUUGCAAAUACCACUCCUAGAAAAGUUUUCCUUGGAUUCCUAUUCUUUACAUUGGUAGUUAACCAUUGCACCUCAGCUUUUUAGUUUUCAACCUUUUUCUGGUAUAUUAACCAUUCUAGUAUUCCUUUCCAGAAGCUCAAUGAAUAUGGAUACUCAAAUACAAGUGAUCAUGUGUCACUUCUAUGUCACCUCCAUACUGUACACAAGAAUGAGUCACCUGAAUUUCCCAUUUUGCUAGUAUGUUAACUGUGGCCAGCCAUAUUUGUAUUGCAAUCCAUAAAAUGAAUUGCGGCUUUCCAGUCAACAUGACUAAUGGUUUCCAGUCGACUUUGGGGUUCCUUGGAGUAACAUAAAGACAAGCCUUCUAAAUGUUGAAUCUCUCAUUCUAAACAAAGGAUUCAAUUGUUGGUACGUCAUUACUCCACCAUUUUCUUGCUGUAGACAGUUUCCUUACUAGCCAACUAGCCUGCUUUGAAACAUCCAUUGUAUUGAUAUCAUUCUGCUUUAUGUAGUGGCAAUGUAUCCAUCUAGUCCAAAGAUUGUCUUUCUUAGUCAUUAUAACCCUGAUAAGUUUAGUCAAAGAAUCUUUGUUCUAUCUCUCAUAGUUGAUAAUGUUUAGACCCCAACAACUUUUGAUUUAUACAAUGUUUCCCAUGCUAUGGGAGCUCUGUGAAUAUUCUCAUGACUACCGUCCACAAAUAGUUUCU